rnacentral:misc_RNA from 1 species
AGUCGUAACAAGGUAUCCGUAGGUGAACCUGCGGAUGGAUCAUUACCAAAGACCCGUUUCGAGUCUUGUGAACUGUUUUUCGGUGGUCAGUGUUUUCGCGUUUUUUUUAAUUUUUUUAAAAUUCGUGUUUGCGCUGGCUUCACCAACCAAACCAAACGUCUAAACCCUUUAACCAGAGUCACUUUAGCUUAAAACUAAAGACAACUUUUAGCAACGGAUCUCUUGGCUCUC